CACGUAGGGGGCAAGCGUUGUCCGGAUUUAUUGGGCGUAAAGAGCUCGUAGGCGGCUCAGUAAGUCGGGUGUGAAACCUCCAGGCUCAACCUGGAGACGCCACCCGAUACUGCUGUGGCUUGAGUCCGGUAGAGGAGCGUAGAAUUCCUGGUGGAGCGGUGAAAUGCGUUGAGAUCGGAAGGAACGCCCGUGGCGAAAGCGAGCCCCUGGACGUCUACUGACGCUGAGACGCGAAAGCCAGGGGAGCGAACGGG
rnacentral:rRNA from 1 species